UAUGAUAAAUUUUCCCCAGUACGAAAGGACCGGAAAAAUAAGGCCAAUACCACAAAGCACGCCUUCCCUAAAGUAAUGAACCCAACUAAAUUACUACCAGGCCACACUCCACUAGUCUCUAUCCUAGAAAAGGAUC
rnacentral:rRNA from 1 species